AGAUGCUCCCAAAGUUCUUCUGGUUGAGUCGUUUACUUACUAGCAAUGACAUUCACAAUGGGAAGCCUUUAUAGCAGGCUACUUUGAUUGAUUCCCAAACUAUGGCUUAGUUACAAAUGUUUUGGCGGUGAUGUUUCAUACACUAGUCCAGUGUUGCUACCCAAUGAUGAGUUGUAUGAAGCACUUUGAAAUGCUUUGAAGAAAGUCUUUUAGGUGGCGGUUCUACUGCUGCUACUCCUGUGACAGCCAAGGUGUAGGUUGCAGCCCGUAGAAUUUUAAGGAGGAAAGGAAGACAUGAUUUCUUCUUGGUGAGGUGAGUUGUUUCCUUCAUAUACACAUUGAAGCGAUGACAGACACUCACCGUGCUUGUUUGUUCAUGUAGAAAGUCAUUUGUUUUCAGUAGUAGAAUUUUUUUGAUUAACCUAGCUGAAUUUUGUGGCUCAGAAGCCGCCUCCUGUAUGUAGGCAUGCUUAGAUCUUUUGUAGAAUCAGAUUGUUAAUAUUUCCUUAGAAGUAAAAAAUGUUACCUUUUCCAUUACUUGUUUACUUGGACCCAAACUGUUCAUUACCUAUUGUAUCUAAAGAGUUUGUCUUAGCGUAGCGUGCAUUGGAACCAUAGUUACAAAGUUCGGCUUAGCAUGCUUUAGAACAGUAGCUGCAGAGUUUGACCUCUCUAUUCUUAUUUCUCUAUAUACUUGACACAUACCUGCCUCCAACGUGUCCAUGUGAUUCCGAUGAAUUUGCUAUAUCUAAUUUUUGAGCUUUUCAUUGUCUUCUAAUUGUUGCAUGCAUUUUUCUAAUAUACCAUUCUCUCUCAUCCAAAUAACUAAGUGUUUAUAAGGUGGGCGGCAAGGCGUGCUAACAGCGCCUUGCAAUUAUGCUCGCUUUAGGAGCUUAGGAGCUUAGACGUCUACCUUAGGCGCUUAGGCGUCAGAGCGGUUGGUGCUCACCUUAGGUCGCCUUACUACCUUAAAAAUCAUGAUAGUCACACACUCAUGACACAUUACCUUUGAAGCUUGUGUAUGUGAAUGUAUAGGUACACUUAGUGAUCUGCAUUGGUAAGUACUAACUGAACUGAAUAUCUUGAUCACAAGAUAUAUCUUUGUUGGCCGGCUUGGUUUAAGAACCCAUUAGCUGGUUUAUACUCCCGUCAUCCCAAAAUAAGUGUCGCUUAUUUAGUAUAACUUUAAUAAAUCAAUGACACUUAUUUUGGGACGGAGGGAGUACAAUAUUUGUCCGCUUAUUUCUUUGUUUUUUUGUUUUGCUUUCAAUCAUAUGUGGCACAGAUGUGCAGUUCAAAGGCAGGGCUGUGUCAAAGACGUGAAUCAAAUAAUUAUGCCAAUUGGUGCAUGUUUUUGUUGCUCUUAGUGUUUUUGUUAUGAUGAUUUUGCUAUCUCAGUGUUUUCGUUAUGAUGAUUUUUCUAUCUCAGUGAUCCGUGUUUGACAAUCUGUUACCUUUUAUGGGCAGUGCAUGUGGAAGUGUACUAUGCAAGCAUUAUGGGACAAUGACACACUGCUUAUUCUACGUUCACACACUCUGAAGACCACAAUCAGACUAAGAUGCCUAAAUAUACUGUGAGGCUGCCUAUAUAUAAGUGUUUCUGUAAGCCGGAUAUAAGCUAUUCUACUAUCUGUACUACUAUCUGCCAUUGCAUUAUAUUUCCAGCUACAUCUCCUACUAACAGUCCUUCUAACUGGCUUCUUGCGCCAUUGACGCAACCGGGUCAUCUAGUAUAAGAAAUGCCACAAUCAAAGCCCAGCCAUAAAAACAGUAGUAUUUGACAGAUUUCUUUCCGCGGAUUCUGUGCACCAUGGAUGCAUGCAUCGAUUCAAGGGAACAAAAUAUAAGAAAGUAGAU
rnacentral:lncRNA from 1 species